GCUUCGACCAAGGUUCGACUCGAGCGCCAGCGUGAGAGGGUUGCCGCAGGCAACGACCCGAAGGGCGAAGCGCGCAGCGCUGAGUAAUCCUUCCCCCACCACCA
rnacentral:sRNA from 1 species